GCGGCAGGCCUAACACAUGCAAGUCGAACGGUAACAGGAAGCAGCUUGCUGCUUUGCUGACGAGUGGCGGACGGGUGAGUAAUGUCUGGGAAACUGCCCGAUGGAGGGGGAUAACUACUGGAAACGGUAGCUAAUACCGCAUAACGUCGCAAGACCAAAGAGGGGGACCUUAGGGCCUCUUGCCAUCGGAUGUGCCCAGAUGGGAUUAGCUAGUAGGUGGGGUAAUGGCUCACCUAGGCGACGAUCCCUAGCUGGUCUGAGAGGAUGACCAGCCACACUGGAACUGAGACACGGUCCAGACUCCUACGGGAGGCAGCAGUGGGGAAUAUUGCACAAUGGGCGCAAGCCUGAUGCAGCCAUGCCGCGUGUAUGAAGAAGGCCUUCGGGUUGUAAAGUACUUUCAGCGGGGAGGAAGGGAGUAAAGUUAAUACCUUUGCUCAUUGACGUUACCCGCAGAAGAAGCACCGGCUAACUCCGUGCCAGCAGCCGCGGUAAUACGGAGGGUGCAAGCGUUAAUCGGAAUUACUGGGCGUAAAGCGCACGCAGGCGGUUUGUUAAGUCAGAUGUGAAAUCCCCGGGCUCAACCUGGGAACCUGCAUCUGAUACUGGCAAGCCUGAGUCUCGUAGAGGGGGGUAGAAUUCCAGGUGUAGCGGUGAAAUGCGUAGAGAUCUGGAGGAAUACCGGUGGCGAAGGCGGCCCCCUGGACGAAGACUGACGCUCAGGUGCGAAAGCGUGGAGAGCAAACAGGAUUAGAUACCCUGGUAGUCCACGCCGUAAACGAUGUCGACUUGGAGGUUGUGCCCUUGAGGCGUGGCUUCCGGAGCUAACGCGUUAAGUCGACCGCCUGGGGAGUACGGCCGCAAGGUUAAAACUCAAAUGAAUUGACGGGGGCCCGCACAAGCGGUGGAGCAUGUGGUUUAAUUCGAUGCAACGCGAAGAACCUUACCUGGUCUUGACAUCCACGGAAGUUUUCAGAGAUGAGAAUGUGCCUUCGGGAACCGUGAGACAGGUGCUGCAUGGCUGUCGUCAGCUCGUGUUGUGAAAUGUUGGGUUAAGUCCCGCAACGAGCGCAACCCUUAUCCUUUGUUGCCAGCGGUCCGGCCGGGAACUCAAAGGAGACUGCCAGUGAUAAACUGGAGGAAGGUGGGGAUGACGUCAAGUCAUCAUGGCCCUUACGACCAGGGCUACACACGUGCUACAAUGGCGCAUACAAAGAGAAGCGACCUCGCGAGAGCAAGCGGACCUCAUAAAGUGCGUCGUAGUCCGGAUUGGAGUCUGCAACUCGACUCCAUGAAGUCGGAAUCGCUAGUAAUCGUGGAUCAGAAUGCCACGGUGAAUACGUUCCCGGGCCUUGUACACACCGCCCGUCACACCAUGGGAGUGGGUUGCAAAAGAAGUAGGUAGCUUAACCUUCGGGAGGGCGCUUACCACUUUGUGAUUCAUGACUGGGGUGAAGUCAUAAC
rnacentral:rRNA from 1 species